rnacentral:rRNA from 1 species
UAGUGGCGGACGGGUGAGUAACGCGUGGGUAACCUGCCUUACACAGGGGGAUAACACUUAGAAAUAGGUGCUAAAACCGCAUAAGCGCACAGCUUCGCAUGAAGCGGUGUGAAAAACUCCGGUGGUGUAAGAUGGACCCGCGUCUGAUUAGCUUGUUGGCGGGGUAACGGCCCACCAAGGCGACGAUCAGUAGCCGGCCUGAGAGGGCGGACGGCCACAUUGGGACUGAGACACGGCCCAGACUCCUACGGGAGGCAGCAG